rnacentral:rRNA from 1 species
UACGGAGGGUGCAAACGUUGCUCGGAAUCAUUGGGCGUAAAGCGCACGUAGGCGGCUUCUUAAGUCGGGUGUGAAAGCCCUGGGCUCAACCUAGGAAGUGCACUCGAAACUGCAGAGCUUGAGUCUCGGAGAGGGUCGCGGAAUUCUCGGUGUAGAGGUGAAAUUCGUAGAUAUCGAGAGGAACACCGGUGGCGAAGGCGGCGACCUGGACGAUGACUGACGCUGAGACGCGAAAGCGUGGGGAGCAAACAGG